AGCAGCCACGGUAAUUCCAGCUCCAAUAGCGUAUAUUAAAGUUGUUGCAGUUAAAAAGCUCGUAGUUGAAUUUCGGGGUUCUACCGUUGGUCAGGCAAUAGUCUGUACUGGCGCGUGGAAUUUCUACCUUCUGGGGAACCAUUAUGUUAUUUAUUUAGUGUGGUGGGAAACCAGGACCUUUACCUUGAAAAAAUUAGAGUGUUCAAAGCAGGCUUACGUCUGAAUACAUUAGCAUGGAAUAAUAAAAUAGGACAGUGGUCCUGUUUUGUUGGUUUCUGAAUCACCGUAAUGAUUAAUAGGGAUAGUUGGGGGCAUUAGUAUUCAAUUGUCAGAGGUGAAAUUCUUGGAUUUAUUGAAGACUAACUUCUGCAAAAGCAUUUGCCAAGGAUGUUUUCAUUAAUCAAGAACGAAAGUUAGGGGAUCGAAGACGAUCAGAUACCGUCGUAGUCUUAACCAUAAACUAUGCCGACUAGAGAUCGGAC
rnacentral:rRNA from 1 species